AUUGAACGCUGGCGGCAGGCUUAACACAUGCAAGUCGAGCGGAGUGAUGGUGCUUGCACUACCACUUAGCGGCGGACGGGUGAGUAAUGCUUAGGAAUCUGUCAUUUAGUGGGGGACAACAUUCCGAAAGGGAUGCUAAUACCGCAUACGUCCUACGGGAGAAAUCAGGGGAUCUUCGGAACUUUCGCUAAAUGAUGAGCUUAAGUCGGAUUAGCUAGUUGGUGGGGUAAAGGCCUACCAAGGCGACGAUCUGUAGCGGGUCUGAGAGGAUGAUCCGCCACACUGGGACUGAGACACGGCCCAGACUCCUACGGGAGGCAGCAGUGGGGAAUAUUGGACAAUGGGCGGAAGCCUGAUCCAGCCAUGCCGCGUGUGUGAAGAAGGCCUUUUGGUUGUAAAGCACUUUAAGCGAGGAGGAGGCUACUAGUACUAAUACUACUGGAUAGUGGACGUUACUCGCAGAAUAAGCACCGGCUAACUCUGUGCCAGCCGCCGCGGUAAGAC
rnacentral:rRNA from 1 species